rnacentral:lncRNA from 1 species
GGAGUAGGUAAAAGGAAAUGUUUAUUAAACAAUCACAUGGUAUCUUCUCUUACUCUACUUCAUUCCACUUCUAAGGAAUUAAUAUUGCACUAAUUUUUCCCAUCAUCAGAUUCAUAUUAAAGUAGGAAAAGUACAGAGCAAACAAGACAUAUUUAUUUCCACAAUCAUACAACUAUGAAAAUAUAACUCAUUAUGUACUUAAAUGCAAAACAGAUCUGCCACAGAUUUUUGUGUUAUAUAUUUCCAGAAGUAAAACAAUGAGAUUGGAGAGGGGGUGAAAGGAAGGAAAUGAAGGAAGCAAAUUCAUCUGGCUGAAAAUUUCUCAGUAUAAAAGUAUGACUAGAUCUGGUUGAAAAACUUAAUGUAACAUUUUAAAAUUGUUCUGUGAAAGUAACUAUAUCAUCUCCUUUAAAUUAUUCCUAUGAUGUCAACUUAACAUUUUUGGAAUUGACAUAUAGAGUUUCACAAAAUGUAAAGUUAGGCAUUUAACAAAAUCUUUACAUGAACUAUCUUCACAUUUUACACAUCUUUUAAUAAAGAGAGCCCUUUGUAUUUGAAGACAUAAGCUAUUUUAUAAAAUGAAACUCUAUUUAAUGUGUUGAAUCUAUUAGAAGUCUGCAAAUAAGUAGUAAUUUUCAAACUGCCUAGUGCCAGUACAUCCCCA